GCAUUCAAAUUUUUUAUGCCUGUGAAUGGAUUUAGAUUUCUUUGUCAGGACACAGUGCUGGCACAUUAUGUUAUCCCUAUCAGAAACAAAAAAGAACAGUUUGAAAAUGUAUACAAAUCCUCUCCUGUGUCAGCAAGACAUCAGAGUGACUUAUUUAAAUGAUUAGUUUGUAAUGUGCUUCUGUUUUAGGAAAACAAGGUCUGUGGGUAAAGGAAUUGUACAAAUUGAAUAAAUUGGGAAGUCUCUUCCUAGUAAUCUGCAGAGAUGG
rnacentral:lncRNA from 1 species